GCAGUCGAACGAUGAACUCUAGCUUGCUAGAGAAGAUUAGUGGCGGACGGGUGAGUAACAUUUAGGAAUCUGCCUAGUAGUGGGGGAUAGCUCGGGGAAACUCGAAUUAAUACCGCAUACGACCUACGGGUGAAAGGGGGCGCAAGCUCUUGCUAUUAGAUGAGCCUAAAUCAGAUUAGCUAGUUGGUGGGGUAAAGGCCCACCAAGGCGACGAUCUGUAACUGGUCUGAGAGGAUGAUCAGUCACACCGGAACUGAGACACGGUCCGGACUCCUACGGGAGGCAGCAGUGGGGAAUAUUGGACAAUGGGGGCAACCCUGAUCCAGCCAUGCCGCGUGUGUGAAGAAGGCCUUUUGGUUGUAAAGCACUUUAAGCAGGGAGGAGAGGCUAAUGGUUAAUACCCAUUAGAUUAGACGUUACCUGCAGAAUAAGCACCGGCUAACUCUGUGCCAGCAGCCGCGGUAAUACAGAGGGUGCGGGCGUUAAUCGGAAUUACUGGGCGUAAAGCGAGUGUAGGUGGCUCAUUAAGUCACAUGUGAAAUCCCCGGGCUUAACCUGGGAACUGCAUGUGAUACUGGUGGUGCUAGAAUAUGUGAGAGGGAAGUAGAAUUCCAGGUGUAGCGGUGAAAUGCGUAGAGAUCUGGAGGAAUACCGAUGGCGAAGGCAGCUUCCUGGCAUAAUAUUGACACUGAGAUUCGAA
rnacentral:rRNA from 1 species